AGAUGAUCCAUCCCACCUGUGAUAUCUGGCACACAUGGGGUUGUGAUCAUUUGAGUUUUUAGGGUGUACUGAAGAGCUGCUUCUUGUACAGAGGAGAAAGUCUUAGACUUCAGUAGUGGCCACAAAUCUGGGAACCUCUGCAGACUGAAAUUGAAACUGUUUCAUGAAGUCACCUUCAGGCAAUGGCAGCUCUGCUCAGUGGAAUUUGUGUGGUCCCUUGAAGAUCUUGUGUGUUUUGUCCCAGUUCUGGCUGCCUUUGUUCUGGUUAUGAUCUGAUUCCUAUAAAAUACUUUGCUGUCAG
rnacentral:lncRNA from 1 species